ACACCUUCAUGAUUCAAUUUGUAGAAGGAUGAACUCAAUACAUACCAAACUCCUUCUUUAUACAGUUUGCAGAAGGAUGAAUUAAUUUGUGUCAAACCAAACUCUUUCCUUACAGUUGUAGACGUAUGAAUUCAGUAGG